rnacentral:rRNA from 1 species
GACGAACGCUGGCGGCGUGCCUAAUACAUGCAAGUCGAACGCAGUGGGGACGGGUGAGUAACACGUGGGUAACCUCCCAUCAGAGGGGAUAACACUUGGAAACAGGUGCUAAACCGAUACUGAUGGAUGGACCCGCGGUGCAUUAGCUAGUUGGUGAGGUAACGGCUCACCAAGGCCACGAUGCAUAGCCGACCGGAGAGGGGGAUAGGACCAACGGGGACUGAGACACGGCCCAGACGCCUACGGGAGGGAGCAGGAGGGAAUCUUCGGCAAGUGGCGAAAGGUCUACCGAGCAACGCCGCGGGAGUGAAGAAGGUUUUCGGAUCGUAAAACUCUGUUGUUAGAGAAGCGGUAUCUAACCAGAAAGCCACGGCUAACUACGUGCCAGCCGCCGCGGUAAUUC